GCCAACUUAGCUCAGCUGGUAGAGCAGCUGAUUUGUAAUCAGCAGGUCGCCGGUUCAAGUCCGGCAGUUGGCUCCA
rnacentral:tRNA from 1 species